rnacentral:rRNA from 1 species
UACGUAGGCAGCGAGCGUUGUUCGGAGUUACUGGGCGUAAAGAGUGCGUAGGCGGUUUUCUAAGUUUGGUGUGAAAUCUCCCGGCUCAACUGGGAGGGUGCGCCGAAUACUGAAUGACUAGAGUGCGGGAGAGGAAAGUGGAAUUCCUGGUGUAGCGGUGAAAUGCGUAGAUAUCAGGAGGAACACCGGUGGUGUAGACGGCUUUCUGGACCGUAACUGACGCUGAGACACGAAAGCGUGGGUAGCAAACAGG